rnacentral:rRNA from 1 species
GAGUUUGAUCGUGGCUCAGAUUGAACGCUGGCGGCAUGCCUUACACAUGCAAGUCGAACGGCAGCAUGAUCUAGCUUGCUAGAUUGAUGGCGAGUGGCGAACGGGUGAGUAAUACAUCGGAACGUGCCCUGUAGUGGGGGAUAACUAGUCGAAAGAUUAGCUUAUACCGCAUACGACCUGAGGGUGAAAGUGGGGGACCGCAAGGCCUCAUGCUAUAGGAGCGGCCGAUGUCUGAUUAGCUAGUUGGUGGGGUAAAGGCCCACCAAGGCGACGAUCAGUAGCUGGUCUGAGAGGACGAUCAGCCACACUGGGACUGAGACACGGCCCAGACUCCUACGGGAGGCAGCAGUGGGGAAUUUUGGACAAUGGGCGAAAGCCUGAUCCAGCAAUGCCGCGUGUGUGAAGAAGGCCUCGGUGUAAG